ACCCAGAUUCUAGGAAAGGGAAUAUAGACACCUCUGCCCUAAUAAGAGGACUCACCCUGUAAGAGGGGCAUGUGGAAUGGGAGGUAUUAUGGCUGCCAUCUUUAGAAAUUACAAUUUGCCACAGGUUGUGUUCCCUAGAAGCAGAGGUUGAAAUAGGGGUUCUUUUGUGAGUUAAGGAAGAGGGAGAAGCUAAGCGAGGAUGUAGCUUCAGGUGAAGUCCAGCUUCAACCUGAUCUUGUAGGCAGCACUGGAUCUCACAUUGUCUGCAGCAUUUGUCCUUCCUUGAGGCAAAAAAGUGGGGCUUUUGUACACACAUAUCAGUCAACCCUUAGCUUAGGGAAGCCCCAGGGGAAGGGUUGUAACUCCUAGGUAUCUCGUAGACAGGCAACUCCUCUUGCUUAAAGGCAUUUCCCAGACAAGGCUUGCUCUGUGAGCCUUUAAUAGCAGUUAAUAAAAAGAUUGCCAGAGAUCUGAUUGGGACUGCAACAGCCUCAGCUACAUUAAGAUAUGGGGGCACAUUCAAGGCCUGUUUUAUAGAGACUAGCAGGAUCUGGGGACCCAGUCAGAAGACACUUGGGGUUUAGGGCAGGAAGUCUACUGAUUGCCACGAGCAAAAAAGGAAAUACAUUGGUUCAUGAAAUGAGAAAGUCAAUGGACAGUGCUGACCCAGAUUGGAUCCAGGGCUCAAAGAGCAUCUCCAAGAGACCAUAUAAGAAUCACUAACAUGAGCUGCAUACGCUGGAGGCCCCUCUGCUGUCAUUAUUUUAUGUGCUGGAAAACGCUGCGAUGGGAAGACAGCCCAGUCAGAUGGGGAUGGCCUGGAAUAGGAGCCAGGUCUAUCUGAACUUUUUCUCCAGAGAAUGAAGAUACUGUCAUUACCUCUGCAAAGAAUGCAUCCUAGCACAGAUCAAAGAUCUUCCAAGUCCAGCCACACCAUUUUACAGUUCUGAACCUCGACUUAGGAAAGCAGUGGAUCUUUAUACAUUUGACACAUCCCUUCCCUCUAGGAUCUCUGUGGCUAUUGAAAAUGGACUGGAGAAGAUGAGUGGGAGUGAGAAGAGGAUAACAGAAUCAGAUAAAAACCUGUCAUGUUACUAAGAGCAGGAGAUGAGGCAGCCUGGACCAAGAUGGUGGCAGAGAGAAGAAAAUUGCUUGAGAGAAUUGAUUAAACUACUUGGUUAGCACAGAUAGAGCUGAAUCAAAAAUUAGGAUGGUAAGCUAAGUAAUUUUACACACAAAAAGGCAGAGUUGCAUUCAUAAUUAGUCUCUCCUUCAGACUGAAUAUUACAGACAAAAUAUAGCCAUUGGUGUUGCAAUCACUUCCUUUGGGUUUGUAUCCAAGGUUAAGAAUGUCAGCAUCCAAAGACCCAAAUUCUUAAUGUUUUUAGUUGAUAAAGUUUAUUCAAGGUAGACAGCCUGUGUUGAAUAACUUAGUCUUCCACAAAUUUCAAGAAAAAUCCAUUGUCCCUCUUCUCCGCCACAGACACACUUUAGUUGAACAUUAAGCAUAUUUAUUAAAGAAACAUUCUCCUUGUGCUUUUUCUCCCAA
ensembl:lncRNA LINC00690 long intergenic non-protein coding RNA 690